CGCAAACACCAACCUUGAAGAAACAAAAGCACUAAAAAAGGCAAAAAAAAAGAAGCGCGAAUCGCUGUCGCUGCUGUUGAGCAUAGUAGCGUUAGUUUUACUGUUUAUCUUCCAGAAAAAAGAUUCUUGUGGAGUUAUUACAACAAGAUGGCGCGUACUAAGAAAACCUCAAAGAAGAGAAUGGGAUCGCCCACCGUCCCUUCCACUUGUUUUGUGGGAAAGAAUAAAAAACAUCGUAUCCAAUUAAAGCUACGUGGGAUUAUUGAAAAAUUGAUAUUGUCUACAGAGUCUUGGAUUCCACAAAUGCCUUUUUCACUUAUUCGUGAACUUCUCCAACAUCAGAAAAGGGAUCUCAGGAUUCAGAGAAGUGCUUUACAAGCACUGCAGGCGGCUGCUGAGGGAUUUGUAGUUUCGUUUUUAGCAGACAGUAUUUUCUCUAGCGGCCCUUGCAGCCAUAAGAAACUUGUACUCGUAGAGCAAAUUUUAAGCUUAAAGCUCUAACACUGUGUUAGUUUAUUCAUGUUGAAUCUUUUGUUUUUGUUUUUAUUUUAAUACUGCAAAUUCUAAUGUUAAAAGUUAAUGUUUUAGAGAAUAUAUUCAGUUAUUUUUUGUUUAUUUUGUGUUCUAUGGUUGGCACUGCUAGUGUCAAAAAUGUCACUCACAGCAUAAAUUGUCAAUUUCAAAUGUCACACAAUUUAUAAUAAAUAAGUCAACUGUCAUUUAUUUCAGUAUCACCAACUUAAUGUUAAAGUUACAGUUAAAAAUUACGGCCUAGAUAUACCCAGAUGUGAUUUUAUGGCCAGUUUUAUUGAAAUCUUGCGAAAUAAAUGAGACUUUAAUUUUUUA